AAUAUAUUAUUAUAUAUAUUUAGGUUAUAACAUUGUAAAUAAUAGAAUCGUGAAAUCGUGAUUUGGGGAAGAAAAACAGUUUCUUGUUUUCACGGCAGCGCUCUCUCUUCUUUGAGCGGAUCUCCUUCCGUCGAUCCCUUCCAUUCAUCAAAAACGUCUUGUAGUUCUAAAAAUUUGUCUCUUUGGUUCUCCUUUGGUUUUGUGGGGUUGUAAGUGUUUUUAUUUUGGGUUGUGAUCGGGUUUCUAAAUUCUUUGAAUUUUUCUUCCAACAUUUUCUCGAUGUCCAUUUCUACAUAUGCCUUUUCGAAAAGAUCGGAUACUUUAGUUGGUGGAUUUUCUGUUAUGUUUACUGCAAAACGGGUUGGUCUGAGGCCAGCUCUAAAAGCCAUGAUGACAGCACUGUCUGAUGGGCGUUCGAUCCGAUUCAGAGUUUCAGUGAACCUUUUAACGUAGUUUUUCAGAGUUUCAUUGCCUUUUUGUUUUACGUUUAAGAGUGCUCUUUGAUGUGUUUUUCUUCUAAUUAAAUGGUUGAAAGUUUCCAGAAAUUUAUGUUUUAAUUCUUCAAAGUUGUUUAUACUACCGACGGGUAAAUUGAUGUACCAAUUUAUGGCGUCAUUUUCUAGGAUUCUUCUAAACAUUCUACACCAUAAAUCUUCUCUGUCUGUUACGUCUUUCAUGUUUGCCAUAAAUUUGUAUAUGUGGUCCAUGGGGUCCGAGUUUCCCUUAUAUUGUGACAGUUUGGGCCUUUUCCAAUUCGUGGGUACUCUUUGCUUAGCAGGUAAGGGGCCAAAGCUUCUUUGUUUAAAUUCGUAUUUGGUGUGAUAUUUUCAGAAGUUGGUCCAUCUUUUUUAGAAUUUGUUAUCUUUGCGUUUUGGUCAGUUGUUUUUUCAGAGUUUCGCUGUUUCUUUAUUAUGUUAACUAAACCCGAUACUUGUUCUUGGAGUGAACCUAUGAUUCCAUAAAGUUCUUCUAAUUUAGCCUUUUUUAAUAUAUCACUGAUUUGUCUAAACUAAAGUUUGGCCUACAUCUUUUCAUUACGGGCUGAUCAUUUUCAUUUUUCUUUUCUGAGUCAUUGUGUAAUCGUUUUAUCUUGGGUUUAAUAUUUUAGAAUUAGUUAAAUAAUUAGAAUUAGUAUGUUAUAAUCGUCACAUGGCAGCGUUAGGUUGGUGAAUUAUAUUUCUAUUGUGUAUAUAAGUGGCUAAAGUGAAUGAAAAGAUAUGAAUUGAAUACUCAACAAAGUUUUGUUUCUUCCUCAGGCUCUUUCGGGAGAUUUUUUUUUUCAACCUCAGUCUCCUUUGGGAGAUUCUUCUUCUCAAUCUCAGACUCCUUCAGGAGAUUCUUCUUCUCAAUCUUAGGCCCAUGCAUGGGAUUUCUUCAGUUUAUGUUCUCUAACGAUCGGUAAUGAAGAACGGUUGUUACAUUGGUGCUUUCAACUUGUGAAUUCAUCAUAUGACGGAGUUGUUGCAAUCUUGAUCGAGCCACCGACGAUGCUGCGACAGUUCCAGGGUGUUCGAUCGCGAUCCUAUUGCGGUCUGUUUUUUUUUGUUUGCGAGCGAGAUUUGGGGCAAGCGAAAUUUGGAUUUCGGGAUUCAAUUUUCUUUCUUUCUUUCUGUUUUUGCAAUCCUGAGCGAUCUUCGAUUUUGGAUUUGGAUUGGAGGGAAGAUUUGAGUCGAUGACCCUAUUUGUUUGCCUGAUUUGCGAUCUUUCAAGAUUUGCGUUGAUUUAGAAUUGUUUUGGGAUUUAUCUUUCACGAGUGGAUUCAGUUUCUUGCCAUUCAAGAUCGCGGUUCCUGAUCUAAUUAUCUGAUAUGAGGGGAGGCUUCUCCAGAAGUUCACCAAUCAAGAAAGAAAAAACAAGAAAAGAUGGUGGAGAGGGAGGUCGAUGGAGACCAACCAAGUUAACCAAACUACUAACCUUGAGGUUAAAGUUAAAUCGAAAGGAGACGGUGAUGUAACAGUUCGUUUUAUCUUGGGUUUAAUAUUUUAGAAUUAGUUAAAUAAUUAGAAUUAGUAUGUUAUAAUCGUCACAUGGCAGCGUUAGGUUGGUGAAUUAUAUUUCUAUUGUGUAUAGAGUGAAUGAAAAGAUAUGAAUUGAAUAUUCAACAAAGUUUUGUUUCUUCCUCAGGCUCCUUCGGGAGAUUCUUUUUCUCAACCUCAGGUUCCUUCGGGAGAUUCUUUUUCUCAACCUCAGGCUCCUUCGGGAGAUUCUUUUUUCUCAAUCUCAGGCUCCUUCGGGAGAUUCUUCUUAUCAAUCUUAGGUCCAUGCGUGGGAUUUCUUCAGUUUAUGUUCUCUAACGACCAGUAAUGAAGAACGGUUGUUACACAUUGUCGCUUACGUGUUCCAUUUGAGGGAGCGUGGAGCGGAUCUAAGUGAGAGGGAUAGAGAGAGAGUCGCGAGAUCAUUUGCGAGCGAGUCGAGGAACGCGCCCAGAGAUGUUAUCGUGGUCGCGAUUUGCGAAGACAUGAGAUCGGAAGUAUUGCGUGGUUUUGGUGUAAGAAAGAAAUGAGAUCGGGAUGAAAGAGUGGUGUCGCAGAGGAAAUGUUCUUCCCCAGCAGAGUCGCCAAUUGUUGGUGUUAUUCCGCCUCCCCGGGU
rnacentral:lncRNA from 1 species